UUGGGUCCUGGCCUGGGUCCCAUAGACACGCUUAGCAUCUCCAAAGUAAACAAGAGCCAUAGGGACAUGUGCAGGUGCCAAGUGAAAGAAAACAACAUAUCAAAAUACUCCUGUAGCACUUACCUCCAAGUGCAUGAGCCAGUCCUUAGACCCUUCCUGGACACGAGGGAAGGCACCAAGAGUCUCAUCAUCACAGCUGAGGGGAUCAUCUUGCUAUUCUGUGCAAUGGUACCAGCGACACUGCUGCUAUUCAGGAAGUGAUGGCCAAAUGAGAACGGAGAAGACAUACCAGAUGAGGGCUUGAAUCUUGAUGAUUGCUCUAUGAAUAAGGAUAUCUGUAGCGGACUCCAGGACGUGGACAGGCUCCAUAUUGGA
rnacentral:lncRNA from 1 species